rnacentral:lncRNA from 1 species
GAGUCUUGUAUUCUUACUAAGCUACAAGUGCAGAGUUGUCAGCGGCAGUUGAAAUUGUUCUUGUAUGUGCGGUAUUGGCUACUACUCAAGCUCAGCUGAAAGGUUUACUCAACUUAAUUACUAUCAAGCUUGAUGAUGGAAAUUUGAUGAAGUGGAGUUUUCAAGUUCGGUCAAUGAGUCAAUUCCUUUGUGGGGACCGUUGAGGUGGUUUGAAAUUUGAUGAGGAUUGAGGAAUUGGGACAGGAUGAGGAGAGGAAAAUGAGUGAGCAUAUUUUUCAUUGAAAAAAGUAGGGGUCCAAGAAUGAGUUGUAUGAGUUCCUUCCAUCUUUACCUGUAUAGAAGUUGUUUAAUUUGUUAUAAAAUUCUUUAGAAAUCUCGGAGCUUUCAACAUUUUGUGCAUUUGUACAUGCUUAGUGCUUUGAUCAUUUUAUCACCAUUGUUAUGACGGUAAUCUAUGCUCUAAUAUAAUUCGGAUUCGAGAUUCAUAGCUGACAAAGAUCAUUCAGGAGAUGACUGUCUUGGGUUCACAGGUACAACAUCAAGUCCCAUACCAGAUCUCUUUCAAGAAAUGACUGACCUCGCAUAUUGAAACAAAGCAAAAGCAACAUGAACUUCAGUUAUCAGGCUUGGAGCACUUGACAGUGUACGUACAAUCCAACUCUCCACACCAGUUCCCCGUGCUAUAUAUACUUGACCAUAAAUCUGAGAUUAUCACUCACUCACUCUCCCUCUCUCCAUUUCAGCUGUAGAAAUGUAGUGAAGAUCAGGAAUUCUAGACACGAACAUGAAUAAUGGAUGUAUCAAAAGCAAAAGUUAAAACAUAUGGUU